CAUUUUCCUGGAGCGGCUGGGAAAGAGGAGUCUCUCGAAAUUCAGCAACUGCUAACAGCGAGGAGGGGUUUUGAAAGGUAAAGGCCAUUAGCUUGGAGGCAGAAGACAGACCUCCCUGACUGCUGAAUUCCUGCCGGCCUGAAAUUGGAGCAUUCCAAGCUCCUCAGAUGAGUCAUAAGCCACCAAGAUUGUGAGCCUCUGGAAAAGGAGAAGAAGACCACAUGCAUACCCACAAGAAGAUGGAGGCAGAGACUGGAGUGAAGAAGCCACAAGCCAAGGAAUGGCUGGAGCCACCAGGAGCUGAAAGAGGCAACGAAGGAUCCUCCCCUGGAGACUUCAGAGGGAGCAUGGCCCUGCUGACACCUUGAUUUUGGAUUUCUGGCCCCCAGAACCAUGAGAGAAUAAAUUUCUGUUGUGUUA
rnacentral:lncRNA from 1 species